CCUGUACACUCCCUUCCCUCCCUCUCCCAAGUCCAGUCCGCAGCUCGCUCAUCACCAGGCUCUUUUCCAUGACUCUUUCUUGAUCAGGCCUUUUUAUCGUCCUCACCACAGGUAAUCCCUCCCCGGAAAGAGAAGAUCACAGAUUUUGUCAUAUUAAAUACAUUGUAGAAAUUCAUGGUAGCAGGGGCAAGAUCAUUUAAACAAAACAGAAAGUUUCAGAGAGAGAAAAAGCCAAGGACAAAGAUUAAUCAUUUUUCUGCUUAAAAAAAAUGGCUUUGAUUUGCAACCAUGGAAUGCUC
ensembl:lncRNA novel transcript